rnacentral:rRNA from 1 species
CAGCUGUAAACGAUGCGCGUUAGGUGUAUCGGUGACCACGAGUCACCGAGGUGCCGAAGAGAAAUCGUGAAACGUGCCGCCUGGGAAGUACGGUCGCAAGGCUGAAACUUAAAGGAAUUGGCGGGGGAGCACCACAACAGGUGGAGCCUGCGGUUUAAUCGGACUCAACGCCGGGAAGCUCACCGGAUAAGACAGCUGGAUGAUAGCCGGGUUGAAGACUCUGCUUGACUAGCUGAGAGGUGGUGCAUGGCGUGUGACUGU